UUCUUUCAGUAAUGGUCUUUUAAUACUGCCCUUAUCGACUACCUUGUCAACAUUGGAAUCCACCUUAUUUCAUCAUCGUCAACACCAAAAAGCCAAACAAUGGCAGAUGGUGGAGUUUGAAAAGAAUAAUUGGGACUCUUUGAAUGGCGAUUGAAGUUCAACUGAUACUCAGACCAUGUUGCUUGAAAGAUCCCAAUAAUGAGGUUUUUCAAUACCGGAAACUGUAGAGGGUUCUUUGUUUCCGGCGGUGGAAUGGACGCAUCAAUCACUAGGUUUGAAGAGGGGUUAUCGCAUAUAUGGUCAGCCUAGGGUUAGGAUGAAGAUGCACUGGCACAGGAGACCACUCCAGUCGAUGAUGAGGUAUUUGAAACACGUUGAAAUUACAAAUGAGGGAUUGACGAGUGAAGAAGGGAAUAAGAGGCUUAAUGUAUUGGCCCUAACAAGCUAGAAGAGAACAAGGUAGACCAAUAACUACUAUUAAAACAUUAUAUUUGGUCUUUGAUUUGGCAACAUCAUUGAUAUAUAGUGUUUCUUUCUAGGCAUAUACUUCUGUGUUAUACCUCAGAAAGUUUGACAACUUCAAAAUUCAUUUUAAGAGGGAAACCUUAGGGUGCAAACGAGCAGAGCGGCUCGCGAGCUACUCGAGAUCGGCUCGAGAAAAAGCUCGAAACGAACCGAGCUUGAGCCUAAAAUAAAAGCUCGUUUGUUUAUCGAGCCCGAGCUCGAGCCUUACUGUAAACGAGCCGAGCCAAGCUGAGCUUAUUUAAACUUGUUUAUGAGCCGACCCCGAACCUAAAAAUAAGCUUAUUUAGUAACGAGCCCGAGCCCGAGCUUCACUUAUCGACCUCGCGAGCCUAAAAAGUCUAUUAUGUAUAUUUUCUUAUUUAAUAUAUUAAUUAUAAGAUAAUAAACGAGUCGAACCCAAGCGAGCUCGAGCUUUGAAAACAAAGCUCGAAUCUAGCCGAGCUAGAGCUCUCAUAAGUUAAUCGAGCUCGAGCUUGGUCAAGCUCGGGCUCGGCUCGUUUGCACCCCGAAACCUACAUGUUUUCUGUAGAACAGGUAAUAUUGCACUAUAUGAUAUGUGUUUAGGACCUUGUUACAAGAUUUGGCUGGAAACUACAUAUCUAUAUCUAUAGUUGUAUUGUUUUUCGUGAUCUAUCUUAUGUAGGCUGUUGCAGAGACAACCCUGGGAUUUAUAAAAGAAGCACCAGCUACUAGAAUUACUGGAUUUAAUGUGUACCAUAAAAAAAGUGUAUGAUUCGUGUAGAAUCGAGGCUUUGAUUUAAUUUAGGAUGUUUUUAAGUUUAUUAGUCAAUAUGUAAUUUUUUAUUUCAGCCCUACUGGAAAGUAACCGGUGAGGGACAUUCGAAAGGGUAUGGGCAUAGUCAGAGUUCUUGAAGCAAAUUUCACAGAACCGGCACACGACAAGCAAGAUUUUUUGUGUUUUUACGGCUGGAAAUGAAGCUAAAAGUCUAAAACAAAUGCAAUUGAAAUACUGGUUUGUUUUUCUUUUUUAAACACAAUUACAUUUUAGUAAUUUACAUUUGAGAUUUUUUUGGUAAAGAACACAUGAGACCAUGAUUGGACACGUAGUCGAAAUGGGGGUUCAUGCUAUAUUAUUGUUGAUUAUUGAUGUUGCUACUUAUUUUAAAUUUCUUGAAAUGCAAAAGAUAACAAGAGUCCUUAUCUGUCGGGGGGUAUUAUCUACAAAUGGACUGUACAAAUGAUUCACACCCGAAUUUUAUUGGUGGCAGUAAGGAUGUAGAGUUGCCUAUGCAGCAAGUCAAGUCUUCUUUUUUUUUUUUUUUGGGUAAAGUGCAGCAAGUCAAGUCUUCUAGGAUUGCUUCGGCAGUUUCAAGGCAAAAGGAUGCUGCUGCUGAGUUGGAUAAAGCACCACAAUGUAUCAAGUGAUGCACAUUUCUUAAAUUAACAAGUGUAGUGUGCAGAUUUAGUUUGUUGUGAUGGGCUUCUUUGGAAAUUCAUGGUGAGCAGUUACCGCCAAACAUCCAGAAAGAAAGGAUAUGCAUAAGUUGCUCUGAAUCAGGUUGAAAUAUUUUCAUGUUGCAAGGAGAUUGUUUAAAUAUGACACAUUACAAGGUGUUCAGAAAGAACGAGUCUUGAGGUUAAUGAACUAGAAAGAACAAAGAAUAUCUUACCAAUGGAAAAAAGUGACAACAUGAACUACAAUACUCAUAGGACCGUAUCUCUGAUGGAAAAAAGUGACAGCAUGAAGAAUUCCAAUGCUGCUAAGAUGGUAUCUCAGAUUUAGCUUCCUUAUUUUAGAGGUGGUCUUAUGUUAACAAAUGAGUCAAAACCAGACAUUUUAGAUGUGGUCAUUAUUUUAAGAAAUGAGUCAAAUGAAGUAAUAUUAUAUCUUCUAACCAGACAGAUGGAAAAUUUCUAAACAGACAAGGUCAAAAGGGCCGAAACCUCAUUUGUAAUUUGUAUGCAUAUCCAUGUCCUUUUAUCUAGAUGAUCAUUUAUAUAGUAAAAUGGCACAAGUUGUGUAAA